GAUCCUGGCUCAGGACGAACGCUGGCGGCGCGCCUAACACAUGCAAGUCGAACGGAGUUAUUUUGGCAGAAGCCUUCGGGCAGACGCUGAUUUAACUUAGUGGCGAACGGGUGAGUAACACGUGAGCAACCUACCCUUCAGUGGGGGACAACAGUUGGAAACGACUGCUAAUACCGCAUAAGACCACGAGAUGGCAUCAUCUUGGGGUCAAAGGAUUUAUUCGCUGAAGGAUGGGCUCGCGUCCAA
rnacentral:rRNA from 1 species